GUCCUUAGUUACCAGCACGUUAUGGUGGGCACUCUAAGGAGACUGCCGGUGACAAACCGAGGAAGGUGGGGAGUGACGUCAAGUCAUCAUGGCCCUUACGGCCUGGGCUACACACGUGCUACAAUGGUCGGUACAAAGGGUUGCCAAGCCGCGAGGUGGAGCUAAUCCCAUAAAACCGAUCGUAGUCCGGAUCGCAGUCUGCAACUCGACUGCGUGAAGUCGGAAUCGCUAGUAAUCGUGAAUCAGAAUGUCACGGUGAAUACGUUCCCGGGCCUU
rnacentral:rRNA from 1 species